GAGAUGAGGAGAGGUUGAGGGAAUCUGAGAAGACUAUUCUAAGAUGCAGGAGUCUAUACCCCCCAUGUGGAGAUGACAUGGAGGCUUGCACAGCCAACUUUGUCCAUGGUGGAGCCCCAUUACAUGCUUCCUCAUGUUUGCUCUCCUUAUUUUCCUGCCUAACUCUGCUUCCCCAAGAUUAUAUCUCACUGCCACCACCCUCACCAGGAAAAUUUGCAUGCAGUCUAUUGUCUCUCAGCUUUUUAUGGUGUCAUUGAGGGACUUGCCUGAAGGCAUGAACUCAGAGAGUUGGAUUUUAGAAGUGCAAGAAUAAUAUGAGAUACAGAAGCAAACCAUCCAUGAGGAAUUCCUUACAUUUGCAUUUCCAUGUAUAACUUUGGAUGGAGUCCUAAAGGAU